rnacentral:rRNA from 1 species
UACGUAGGGUGCAAGCGUUGUCCGGAAUUAUUGGGCGUAAAGGGCUCGUAGGCGGAUAUUUAAGUCAGGGGUGAAAUCCCAGAGCUCAACUCUGGAACUGCCUUUGAUACUGGGUAUCUUGAGUAUGGAAGAGGUAAGUGGAAUUGCGAGUGUAGAGGUGAAAAUUCGUAGAUAUUCGCAGGAACACCAGUGGCGAAGGCGGCUUACUGGUCCAUUACUGACGCUGAGGUGCGAAAGCGUGGGGAGCAAACAGGG